AGCGAACAUUGGCGGUAGGCUUAACACAUGCAAGUCGAGCGAGGCGUAAUAGUCAAGCGGCGAACGGGUGAGUAAUACAUGGGAAUCUACCUCGAAGUGGGGGAUAACGUUCAGAAAUGGACGCUAACACCGCAUAAUCCGGGAACGGGAAAGCGCGCUGCGCUUUGGGAUGAGCCCAUGGCUGAUUAGCUAGUUGGUGGGGUAAAGGCCUACCAAGGCGACGAUCAGUAGCUGGUCUGGGAGGAUGAUCAGCCACACUGGAACUGAGACACGGUCCAGACUCCUACGGGAGGCAGCAGUGGGGAAUCUUGCGCAAUGGGGGCAACCCUGACGCAGCCAUACCGCGUGUGCGAUGAAGGUCUUCGGAUUGUAAAGCACUUUCAGUGGGGACGACGAUGACGGUACCCACAGAAGAAGUCACGGCUAACUUCGUGCCAGCAGCCGCCGUAA
rnacentral:rRNA from 1 species